AAAACUUGCUAAAAAUGCUUUGAGAAAUACACGAUCAUUUAGAAACUCACAAUUAAGAUGUGUGAUGAUCAGUACAGAGUCUUUCUGAUUAUAUUAUUUAUUUAGAUUUAAUAGUUUUCAUGCAUCAAGAGACAUUUAGAGAUGAUGAGGCUGUUUCUGUGAAAGUCACUUCAGUCCAAUAAUCAUUAUUUAAUGUUGAGAAGAUCUGCUGUUGAGUCUCAUAUCAGUGUGUGUGAGUGUCGUUCGUCUCUUUCUCUGCUGGAGUUUGUGUUCAUUUGAGUGUGACGGAGGUUUUUGUACGACACUUUCACUAAAAUGAAGCACUGUGGUGGACUUUCGGUGGAGGAACUGAACUGGUGAUCAGAACUGGUCCCGCAGUGAAGCCCUCCGUGUCUCUGCUGCCGCCCUCUUCUCUGCAGAUCUCUGGAGACUCAGCCGCACUGCUCUGCCUGCUCAGCUCUUACUCUCCACAGGGGG